AAGCAUUAAAAAGAAGCAAAGAAAGAAUGGCAGUGUUAAUAAAGUAAGCACUGGAGUCAAGAAGCAUUCUACAAUCAUAUAACUUUGAAACUGGCCACACAAUCUCUAUCUCUCUCUCUCUCUCUCAGAGUUUACACAAAGUUUAUUAAAAAUGUCAUACUAAACUGGCAACAUUAACAUUCUUUGUAAAACAAAUUUCCUAGGUCUGUGUUUGAAUUCUCUGGUUAAGGUUAGUGACAGUGCUAAGAUCUCAUGACUACAGUAAAGGACUUCAUGGUAACAACUCACCAGUCAACAAGGACUCUGGAGAGCAGCUGCUGUGGAGCUAUCACUUCCCUAGCAGGAGAUGGCAGUAAGCAGUAUUCAAGGAAAGAAGGCUUCCAAUGGCAUUUAGACAAACGAUCAUAGAGGGCGCUCUGCUCCACAAGGAAGAACGUAGACCACUCAGCUGGCUGGAAGAUCUCACUUAGAAGGUUUUCCCAAGCCAUGAUGAUGUGAUUCCAGGCACACUGCUCAUCUUGUCUAACAUGCCAUUGCAUCUGAAAGGUAAGGAGGCUUCCUGCUGCUCAGUCCUG
rnacentral:lncRNA from 1 species